rnacentral:rRNA from 1 species
GCUACAUUCGGAAGGGAUAAACGCUGAAAGCAUCUAAGUGUGAAGCCCCCCCCAAGAUUAGAUAUCUCAUCUGUAAAAAGAGUAAGACCUCCGGUAGACUACCGGUUAGAUAGGCCACGUGUGUAAGCGCAGUAAUGUGUUCAGCUAAGUGGUACUAAUUGGUCGAGGGCUUGCCUCA